rnacentral:rRNA from 1 species
UACAGGGGGUGCGAGCGUUAAUCGGAAUUACUGGGCGUAAAGAGUACGUAGGCGGUUGCUUAAGUCAGAUGUGAAAGCCCCGGGCUCAACCUGGGAACUGCAUUUGAAACUGAGUGACUAGAGUUUAAGAGAGGGGAGUAGAAUUCCGGGUGUAGCGGUGAAAUGCGUAGAGAUCCGGAGGAAUACCAGUGGCGAAGGCGGCUCCCUGGCUUAAAACUGACGCUGAGGUACGAAAGCGUGGGUAGCAAACAGGAUUAGAAACCCUAGUAGUCC